UACGGAGGGGGCUAGCGUUGUCCGGAUUUACUGGGCGUAAAGAGCGCGCAGGCGGUCGUUCAAGUCGAGUGUGAAAGCCCCCGGCUCAACUGGGGAGGGUCACUCGAUACUGAUCGACUCGAAGGCAGGAGAGGGAAGUGGAAUUCCCGGUGUAGUGGUGAAAUGCGUAGAUAUCGGGAGGAACACCAGUGGCGAAGGCGACUUCCUGGCCUGUUCUUGACGCUGAGGCGCGAAAGCUAGGGGAGCAAACGGG
rnacentral:rRNA from 1 species